CUUUUAGGACUCACAUCCUUGGAUCCCAGACUCUUUGAUGACAGGAAGGCCAAACUAUCUCAAAUAUGAUUUUGGUUCUAACAACCAACCCUCAUGGCCUAUUCUUGGAGAACUUCCAUCAGGGUACUUGAGCCAACUUGUACUCACAAAUGCCCAAGAAGUGCCUGGAUGACUGUGAUGGUUAAUUUUCUGUGUGCCGAAGGCAAAGGGAAUACAGAUUUUGUAGUGGAAGAAAUCCUAGGGCCCAGGAGCUGCAAUGGGCCAUUCUCAUCUGAAGGAAUUGCCUCAGCUUGUUAGAGGACUGGCAUGAAAGGAACAAUCGUGAUAGUGGGCAUAACACAUAAACCCUCUGGGACUCCCUUUGGUCAUCCACAAAUGGCAGUAAAGAGAUGAGCGCCUCCUUGUUCUCAC
rnacentral:lncRNA from 1 species